rnacentral:rRNA from 1 species
CUUGACCUCGGAUCAGGUAGGGAUACCCC